UUCAAUUAUGGGGCUAUUACCUCCAUUGGCUGUAAUAGCCAUUCCGCUUGUGAUUCGGCGAUUAGGGAUUCCACCCUUGUUUCCUAUUUUCUAUUCCAAUCGCUGCCCUCAUUAAGCUUCGUUCCAUUCGUUCCAUCGAUUCUCCCACGUUUCCCUUCCAGAGGUACACUUCUACUACCGAUGGUAGUCGUAUUGGUUUAUAUGCAACCUAGGCUACAAGUUUUCACUUCUUUAUGCAAAACUUCCUUGAAAGCCGUUGUUGGUUUUUGAAAAGACCAUGGAAGGUCUGCUAUUAACUAUGUUCUAUACAGUAGGUUUUUGUUUAAAUACCUGGAAAUUGCUUUGACUCUCGUUUUUCUUGAAAUAUCCGUGUUUGACACAUUCACAUAUGAGUAUGAGUAUACUGGUGGCUAUUCUGAGGGAAGUCGAACUGUUAAACUUUUCUGGGAGGUAUUAGCAUAAUGGAAGUUUAAUUGAUUUUUCUCAUGUUUGACUUAGUUCCUCAAAUGUUUUAAUCAUGUAAACUACUGCAUGAAUACAGUUCUGUUUUAAAUUUCAUUUAGGUUAUGAAUGAUUUUGAGCCCAAAGAACGUUGUAUGCUGCUAAAAUUUAUGACCAGCUGUUCGCGAGCUCCUUUAUUGGGGUUCAAAUACUUGCAGUCAGCUUUCACAAUUCAUAAGGUUGCAAGUGAUGCUCCUCUUUGGGCUGCAAUUGGAGGUUCAGAUGUGGAGCGACUUCCAUCAGCUUCUACAUGCUAUAACACUCUCAAGCUUCCAACAUACAAACGGUCAACUACUCUGAAAGCAAAGCUUCGUUAUGCAAUUAAUUCUAAUGUUGGAUUUGAACUUUCUUAAGGACCUGAGAUUUUUAACUGGCGCAGGCUUUGUAACCAUGUCUAAGAGAGGCUAGUAUAUGUCGAAGACCACAAGUUUGAGACCAGGCAAUCUGUCAUGUAGGCUUAGUGACGUGCUGUUCAGUUUAUUGCUGAAAGUAAUGGCAUCUUGGUUUAACCUUGCAGCACACUGAUUACUUCCAGCACCAAAUAGGGUGAUGGCUGCAGGUAAACAACCUGUUGGUGGUAAGGCAACCACCGUAUUCUGGGGACCAGAGCCCUUGGCUGCACCAGUCGAGGCAGAGAACACUGAUGCCAGGCCGUGCUGAAUUUGUAAGUCGGUCACCAAGAGUGGAUUCUAAACAGAAGAUGUGGAAUAGUCCGAUGACUGCCCCAGCAUGGACUAACUCUCUUGUGAAAGGUUAUUAUGCUAAGCUUGGUGAAGGUGUUAUAGAUCAUCAAGAUUACUAUUCAACCUUUCACAAGACAAACCUCCAGAAGAAAUUCAUGGAGCAAGAAUGGAAAGAUUUCAGUCAGAAAUCUACCCGGAAAGCCAUGGUGGAAGUGGCAGCUUCUCCGGAAUUCACAGAUUGGAUGAUUGAGCAUGCUAACAGGAUAAAACUCCUUCCACGUGAUGAUAGUUCAGAUGAAUCAGUGGGAAGUAAAUCAAGUUCAGACAAUGAAGAUAAAGAAAGCCACUGCUGGUUCAGAUUAUUUUAACUUGUAGGAACUAGGUAGAAAAUCGGAAUUGUUCAUGAAGUAUGCGUGUUUGACGUAGGGACGGAUGCAUGAUCCAGGAAAAUUUAGAAAAAUUGAACAUUGUCAUGCCAGUAAUAUAUUAUCUGAUACUUCCAUA